rnacentral:rRNA from 1 species
CUAUACAUGACUCUGUGCAUAUCAAUAAGCGGAGGAAAAGAAACUAACUAGGAUUCCCUUAGUAACGGCGAGUGAAGCGGGAAGAGCUCAAAUUUGAAAUCUUAAAGGUUUCCCUUGACGAAUUGUAGUUUAAAGAAGUGUUUUCUGUUGGAGUUUCGGUAAAAGUUCUUUGGAAUAGGACAUCAUAGAGGGUGAGAAUCCCGUAUUUGACCAUUAUUUCCAACUUUGUGAUACACUUUCAAAGAGUCGGAUUGUUUGGGAAUGCAGUCCAGAAUGGGUGGUAAAUUUCAUCUAAAGCUAAAUACUGGCGAGAGACCGAUAGCGAACAAGUACCGUGAGGGAAAGAUGAAGAGAACUUUGAAAAGAGAGUUAAACAGUACGUGAAAUUGUCAAAAGGGAAGCGUUUGACACCAGUGUUGUUUUCUCGAAAAUCAAUUAAAAAUGGUGGGAUGUUGUGUUGUAUUGACUUUAUCAGCUUUCUGCACUUUUUUUCCUAUCUUUUUUAAUGCACUUUUCGUUUAACAAGUCAACAUCAAUUUCUUUUGUUGUAAAAGAGUCAUUGGAAGGUGGCUUUCUUUUCGGAGAAAGUGUUUAUAGCCUUUGGCUUCUGCAAUCGGAGAGAUUGAGGUCUGCAGCGUAGAUCCUUCGGGGUUAGAUGCAUUUGUGCUAAGUUAUAGCCUUUCAUAGACAACUUGUUGACUAUGAUCAGUCACGUAGCUUACUCGCUUAUGUCAUUUACCUACGCUUAGGAUGUUGAUAUGCAUGACUGAUAU